rnacentral:rRNA from 1 species
AAUUUUUGACAAUGGGGGAAACCCUGAUCCAGCAAUGCCGCGUGCAGGAUGAAGGCCUUCGUGUUNUAAACUGCUUUUGUACGUAANGAAAAGUCUUGGGCUAAUACCCUGGGAUCAUGACGGUACCGUAAGAAUAAGCACCGGCCAACUACUUGCCAGCAGCCGCGGUAAUACGUAGGGUGCAAGCGUUAAUCGGAAUUACUGGGCGUAAAGCGUGCGCAGGCGGUUUUGUAAGACAGUGGUGAAAUCCCCGGGCUCAACCAGGGAACUGCCAUUGUGACUGCAAGGCUGGAGUGCGGCAGAGGGGGAUGGAAUUCCGCGUGUAGCAGUGAAAUGCGUAGAUAUGCGGAGGAACACCGAUGGCGAAGGCAAUCCCCUGGGCCUGCACUGACGCUCAUGCACGAAAGCGUGGGGAGCAAACAGG